UAAAAGAUACAUUUGAUAUAUUGUGCUUCUAAUAAGUGUUGUCGACAUGCCAGUUGCAGGCCCAAGCAUCAGCUAUAUACUUCUCAUUUCUCGACAUGGCGUAUACUACUACAAGAGACUCACUGGCACCAUGCUCAUGUUGGUUGUUGCAAAGACUAGAGCUAGCGUUGGUGCAGAGAUCUGCAACGGCACAUGGUGGGAAUGGCGCAUCCUGGAGACGACGGGAGAAGGAGGAGGUAAG
rnacentral:lncRNA from 1 species